rnacentral:rRNA from 1 species
UACGUAGGGGGCAAGCGUUGUUCGGAUUCAUUGGGCGUAAAGGGUGCGUAGGCGGCGCGGUAAGUCGGGUGUGAAAUCUCGGAGCUUAACUCCGAAACUGCAUUCGAUACUGCCGUGCUUGAGGACUGGAGAGGAGACUGGAAUUUACGGUGUAGCGGUGAAAUGCGUAGAUAUCGUAAGGAAGACCAGUGGCGAAGGCGGGUCUCUGGACAGUUCCUGACACUGAGACACGAAGGCCAGGGGAGCAAACGGG